GAUGAAGAACGUAGCAAAAUGCGAUAAGUAAUGUGAAUUGCAGAAUUCAGUGAAUCAUCGAAUCUUUGAACGCACAUUGCGCCCGCCAGUAUUCUGGCGGGCAUGCCUGUUCGAGCGUCAUUUUAACCCUCAAGCACAGCUUGGUGUUGGGACUCGCGUUAAUUCGCGUUCCUCAAAUUGAUUGGCGGUCACGUCGAGCUUCCAUAGCGUAGUAGUAAAACCCUCGUUACUGGUAAUCGUCGCGGCCACGCCGUUAAACCCCAACUUCUGAAUGUUGACCUCGGAUCAGGUAGGAAUACCCGCUGAACUUAAGCAUAUCAAUAAGCGGAGGA
rnacentral:misc_RNA from 1 species